rnacentral:rRNA from 1 species
AGUGAAAAAGAACCUGAAACCGUGUACGUACAAGCAGUGGGAGCCUCUUUAUGGGGUGACUGCGUACCUUUUGUAUAAUGGGUCAGCGACUUAUAUUCUGUAGCAAGGUUAACCGAAUAGGGGAGCCGAAGGGAAACCGAGUCUUAACUGGGCGUUAAGUUGCAGGGUAUAGACCCGAAACCCGGUGAUCUAGCCAUGGGCAGGUUGAAGGUUGGGUAACACUAACUGGAGGACCGAACCGACUAAUGUUGAAAAAUUAGCGGAUGACUUGUGGCUGGGGGUGAAAGGCCAAUCAAACCGGGAGAUAGCUGGUUCUCCCCGAAAGCUAUUUAGGUAGCGCCUCGUGAAUUCAUCUCCGGGGGUAGAGCACUGUUUCGGCAAGGGGGUCAUCCCGACUUACCAACCCGAUGCAAACUGCGAAUACCGGAGAAUGUUAUCACGGGAGACACACGGCGGGUGCUAACGUCCGUCGUGAAGAGGGAAACAACCCAGACCGCCAGCUAAGGUCCCAAAGUCAUGGUUAAGUGGGAAACGAUGUGGGAAGGCCCAGACAGCCAGGAUGUUGGCUUAGAAGCAGCCAUCAUUUAAAGAAAGCGUAAUAGCUCACUGGUCGAGUCGGCCUGCGCGGAAGAUGUAACGGGGCUAAACCAUGCACCGAAGCUGCGGCAGCGACACUAUGUGUUGUUGGGUAGGGGAGCGU